CCAGCAGCCGCGGUAAUUCCAGCUCCAAUAGCGUAUAUUAAAGUUGUUGCAGUUAAAAAGCUCGUAGUUGAACCUCUGUGGAUGUCUAGUUUUGGCUUCGCGUCAGGCUACGGCCGUCCACAUCCGCUUGCGAGCCUAGACCGGCCUUCACUGGUCGACUAGGGGAGUAGGCCCUUUACUUUGAAAAAAUUAGAGUGUUUCAGGCAGGCAAUGGCUUGAAUACAUUAGCAUGGAAUAAUAGAACAGGACUUUUGUCCAUUUGGUUGGUUAUUGGACAUUAGUAAUGAUUAAAAGGGACAGUUGGGGGCAUUAGUAUUUAAUUGUCAGAGGUGAAAUUCUUGGAUUUAUUAAAGACUAACUUAUGCGAAAGCAUUUGCCAAGGAUGUUU
rnacentral:rRNA from 1 species